rnacentral:rRNA from 1 species
CNGGUGUAGCGGUGGAAUGCGCAGAUAUCAGGAAGAACACCGGUGGCGAAGGCGGGUCUCUGGGCCGUUACUGACGCUGAGGAGCGAAAGCGUGGGGAGCGAACAGGAUUAGAUACCCUGGUAGUCCACGCCGUAAACGUUGGGCACUAGGUGUGGGGGGCCUUUUCCGGGUCUUCCGCGCCGUAGCUAACGCAUUAAGUGCCCCGCCUGGGGAGUACGGCCGCAAGGCUAAAACUCAAAGGAAUUGACGGGGGCCCGCACAAGCGGCGGAGCAUGCGGAUUAAUUCGAUGCAACGCGAAGAACCUUACCAAGGCUUGACAUGUGCCGGUCGGCUCCGGAGACGGGGCUUCCUCCUUGUGGGGCCGGUUCACAGGUGGUGCAUGGUUGUCGUCAGCUCGUGUCGUGAGAUGUUGGGUUAAGUCCCGCAACGAGCGCAACCCUUGUCCCGUGUUGCCAGCACGUUGUGGUGGGGACUCGCGGGAGACUGCCGGGGUCAACUCGGAGGAAGGUGGGGAUGACGUCAAAUCAUCAUGCCCCUUAUGUCUUGGGCUUCACGCAUGCUACAAUGGCCGGUACAGAGGGCUGCGAUACCGUGAGGUGGAGCGAAUCCCUUAAAGCCGGUCUCAGUUCGGAUCGGUGUCUGCAACUCGACACCGUGAAGUUGGAGUCGCUAGUAAUCGCAGAUCAGCAACGCUGCGGUGAAUACGUUCUCGGGCCUUGUACACACCGCCCGUCACGUCAUGAAAGUCGGCAACACCCGAAGCCCGUGGCCCUACGGGGAGCGGUCG